AAGAUAUGUAACAGGGUUGAUGUUCCAGGAGGGAUAAGCCAAAUGACAAAUGAUUUAGGUAAACUAGAAAAAUGGUCAGAAUUGUGGCAACUGAGAUUUAAUGUGGAUAAGUGCAAGAUAAUGCAUCUUGGACGUAAAAACCCAAGGGCAGAGUACAGAAUAUUUGAUAGAGUCCUAACCCCAACAUAUGAGGAAAGGGAUUUAGGGGUGAUUAUUUCUGAUGACUUAAAGGUAGGCAGACAAU